rnacentral:lncRNA from 1 species
GCCCCGAUGGGCGUGCGGCGCCGGUGACGUCGGACCUGCCCAAGCUGGAGAGCAUGCCGGACGCGUACGCCGUCAGCCCCGUCGAGAAUGGCAGCUUCUUCUACGGAGGACCGGCCAAGGAGCCCAGCCAGCGCCGGCGGCGUGAUUAAUUGUUGCUAUCGUAUGCGUGUGCGGGUCUGCUCUGCUCAAUAAUAACCGUACGUGUCGAAACACUCGAUUUAGUCUAUUACCUACUGCACUUAUCUCUUUGAUUCGUGACGUUUUAGUUUGCACGUCCAAUGUCUCCUUCUCUUUCUGAACUUGUAUAGAAGACAGAGGUAACAAAAUCAAUAUGUCCUACGGGUUUUAAAAAUUAUGUGCAUGCUUGAGAAAUUUAAAGCACGGUGUGACAAAUAUAA